CCUACGGGUGGCAGCAGUCGAGAAUCAUUCACAAUGGGGGAAACCCUGAUGGUGCGACGCCGCGUGGGGGAAUGAAGGUCUUCGGAUUGUAAACCCCUGUCAUGUGGGAGCAAAUUAAAAAGAUAGUACCACAAGAGGAAGAGACGGCUAACUCUGUGCCAGCAGCCGCGGUAAUACAGAGGUCUCAAGCGUUGUUCGGAAUCACUGGGCGUAAGGCGGGCGGAGGCUGUUUAGUAAGUCGUGUGUGAAAGGCGCGGGCUCAACCCGCGGACGGGACAUGAUACUGCGAGACUAGAGUAAUGGAGGGGGAAUCGGAAUUUUCGGUGUAGCAGUGAAAUGCGUAGAUAUCGAGAGGAACACUCGUGGCGAGGCGGGUUCCUGGACAUUAACUGACGCUGAGGCACGAAGGCCAGGGGAGCGAAAGGGAUUAGAUACCCUAGUAGUC
rnacentral:rRNA from 1 species